rnacentral:rRNA from 1 species
UACGAGAGGCCCAAACGUUAUUCGGAAUUACUGGGCUUAAAGAGUUCGUAGGCGGCGCAGAAAGUAGGGUGUGAAAGCCCUCGGCUCAACCGAGGAAUUGCGCUCUAAACUACUGUGCUUGAGGGACCUAGAGGUGAGCGGAACUGAUGGUGGAGCGGUGAAAUGCGUUGAUAUCAUCAGGAACACCGGGAGGCGAAGGCGGCUCACUGGGGGUCUUCUGACGCUGAGGAACGAAAGCCAGGGGAGCGAACGGG